UNGGUAUUAGCCACAGAGGUCUAGAUGGUA
rnacentral:piRNA from 1 species